rnacentral:tRNA from 1 species
GGGGACAUGGUCUAGGGGUAUGAUUUUCCUUUCGCACGCUGCAUCGGUAGCAGAGAAUAGGAAAGGUCAGGGGUUCAAUUCCCCUUGUCUCCA